UUCAAAAAGCUUUAGCCUUUUGGGCACAGAACAGCGCAGCGAUAAUUUUCGAGGUCGAACCUAUCGGCACUGCUUCUGCACUACAAAAUCGUCGAUGUUGGUCACGAUUAGGAGUUCUUCGGCGUUGCUCAAACUUCUUUCUCUUCAUUUCCAUGGCUUCUCCUCACACUUUUUCAGCACUUCAAAGACCACUAAGCACAUUGCCAUAGCUCCAAGAGCUCUUACAAUAAGACCCACUUCGCGGACUGCCCCAACUCCUCGGUCUCCGAACACCCUCGGCUCUUCCGAUGUCGUCAACUCAGUAUGUUCUUUACUUUCAAACAAAAAUCCCCAAACGCCUAAUCUCGAUAUUAAUCAUUUAUUGAAAAGGUUCAAAGACAACUUAAGUUCGGAUCUCGUGCUUCAAAUUCUGAUGAAUUAUAAGCUGUUGGGUCGGGCUAAAACGCUAGAAUUCUUCUCUUGGUCUGGAUUGCAAAUGGGGUUUCGGUUUGAUGCGUCCGUGGUUGAGUAUAUGGCUGAUUUCUUAGGUAGGAGGAAAUUGUUUGAUGACAUGAAGUGUCUUUUAGUGACUGUGUUGUCUCAUAAGGGUCGGAUUUCUUGCCGAACAUUUUCAAUUUGUAUUAGAUUUUUGGGUAGGCAGGGGAGGGUUAGAGAAGCACUUUGCUUGUUUGAAGAAAUGGAACCAAAAUUUGGGUGUAAACCUGAUAAUCUGGUCUUUAACAACAUGCUUUAUGCACUUUGUAAGAAGGAACCAACUGGGGAACUGAUUGAUACUGCUCUAAAGAUUUUCAGAAGAAUUGAAUUGCCUGAUAAAUAUUCAUACAGUAAUGUUAUAAUUGGGUUGUGUAAAUUUGGUAGGUAUAGUACAGCUAUUGAAGCGUUUGGUGAAAUGUAUAGGGCAGGUUUGGUACCUACUCGAUCUGCUGCGAACAUUCUCAUUGGGAAUUUGUGUUCUUUGAGUGCUAAAGAAGGGGCUUUAGAAAAAGUUAGGGUCAGAAGUACUUAUAGACCUUUUACCGUUCUAGUUCCAAAUGUGAAUCCGAAGAGCGGAGCCAUUGAACCUGCAGUUGGGAUUUUUUGGGCAGCUAAUAAGCUGGGUUUAGUUCCCAGUUCUUUUGUAACAGUUCAGCUCAUCUCGGAGCUUUGUCGGGUAGGUCAAAUGCAAGAAGCAAUUAAAGUAUUGAAGGUUGUUGAGCGUGACAAGCUUAGAUGUGCUGAAGAGUGUUAUUCUGUUGUGAUGAAAGCAUUAUGUGAACAUCGUCACAUAGACGAAGCUAGUGAUCUGUUUGGGAGGAUGCUUUCUCAGGGCAUGAAGCCAAAGUUGGCUAUUUACAAUUAUGUUAUUUGCAUGUUAUGCAAAUUAGGAAAUUUGGAUAGUGCUGAAAGGGUGUUCGGGAUUAUGAACAAGAAAAGAUGUGCACCUGAUCAUGUUACUUAUUCGGCGUUAAUCCAUGCUUAUGGUGAAAAUAGGAAUUGGUCAGCUGCCUACGGUUUAUUGAAAGAAAUGUUGAGUUUAGGCAUGUCUCCUCAUUUUCAUGUGUAUAGUUUAGUGGAUAAACUAAUGAGGGAACAUGGGCAAGUUGAUCUGUGCUUGAAGCUGGAAAUGAAAUGGGAAGCCCAAAUUUUGCAGAAGCUUUGUAAGCAAGGACAACUGGAGGCUGCGUAUGAAAAGAUGAAGUCAAUGCUUGAAAAGGGUUUGUGUCCUCCUAUCUAUGUUAGAGAUGCGUUUGAGAGUGCAUUUCAAAAGAAGGGUAAAUUUAAGAUUGCACGAGAGUUGCUGCAGAAGAUGGACGGAGUCCAUCAACAUGAGUCAGGAACCAGAAAUUCAUCAUGAGAAAAUUCUCUCCUUCCACUCUCAAAGAACUUGCCCUUCCAGUGAGUGUUUCCAGCCAACCAAGAUCUGCAUUCAAGUCUAGAGAGUUUACCACUUGAACUAGCUUUGAUGAGGAUCAUAUCGAAUUCACCCCAGGGCAACACAAUGGCAAGUCGCAACAAAGAGGCCAAGAAGGCCAAGAAUUCAAACUAGUUCUACAUUUUCGUGAAAAUGGGGUAGGACAAGAAGACAAGAAAAAGGAAAGGGCAGUGGAGUUCAGGUCUCUUGGAAAUACAAAAGUUGACCUUUCACGUGUUAAGCAUCAGACCAACACUAAUCACAUCAAAGCUUGGUCCCCAGCUAGUCAACUAUUGUAGAGGCGAGAUUCAGGUCGUCCUAGCUUUCCUUUGUAAAUAUCUUUUGGAGUCAUUAUGAUCCCAAAGAAGUGCAAAGUCUUCGGUUGGUCUGUAUCUCUUGUUGGCCUCGUUAUAUUAACAGUAAAAUUCAAAGAAGAAAUCCUGCUUAUGCUCUCAAUUGGAGUUGGUACUCUUUUUGUUGGAGUAGUUUGGAAAAUAGUUUACGCACCUCUUCAGCACUGAUGCGUAUGCAGUGGCCUUGUUAUUUCAAGAUUUUAGAGAUUUUCAACCCUUAGUACAUAAAAGACUUUUUUGGGACGAAGAGAAGAGUGAGGGAAAAACGAUCUUACUUGAAUGGAUUUAUUGUAUAGGCUGUACAAUAAUCUUUUUAAGUUCUUAGAAGAGUUGGGAAAAAACUUAGAUGUUGUCAAAAUAACUCUACGAGCAUAACUUAUGUACUUGUCAAUGAAUCUUGAGGUUAUAACGUUUGAUUCUCGCACCCCAUACAUUAAUACAACAUCAAAUUUAGAUAUCGUUGA